rnacentral:tRNA from 1 species
AAGGAGUUAGUUAAUAAAUAACACUGGUAUGUCAAACCAAAAUAGCUAAUUACAAGCACCCCUUU